AGUCUGACGGAGCAACGCCGCGUGAGUGAUGAAGGUUUUCGGAUCGUAAAACUCUGUUGUUAGGGAAGAACAAGUGCCGGAGUAACUGCCGGCACCUUGACGGUACCUAACCAGAAAGCCACGGCUAACUACGUGCCAGCAGCCGCGGUAAUACGUAGGUGGCAAGCGUUGUCCGGAAUUAUUGGGCGUAAAGCGCGCGCAGGCGGUCUCUUAAGUCUGAUGUGAAAGCCCACGGCUCAACCGUGGAGGGUCAUUGGAAACUGGGGGACUUGAGUGCAGAAGAGGAAAGUGGAAUUCCACGUGUAGCGGUGAAAUGCGUAGAGAUGUGGAGGAACACCAGUGGCGAAGGCGACUUUCUGGUCUGUAACUGACGCUGAGGCGCGAAAGCGUGGGGAGCAAACAGGAUUAGAUACCCUGGUAGUCCACGCCGUAAACGAUGAGUGCUAAGUGUUAGAGGGUUUCCGCCCUUUAGUGCUGCAGCAAACGCAUUAAGCACUCCGCCUGGG
rnacentral:rRNA from 1 species